UAGCGUAGGGGGCUAGCGUUGUUCCGGAAUCAUUGGGCGUAAAGAGCGUGUAGGCGGCUCGAUAAGUCUGCUGGUGAAAGUCCAGGGCUCAACCCUGGAAGGCCGGUGGAAACGUGUCGGGCUAGAGUCCGGAAGAGGCGAGUGGAAUUCCCGGUGUAGCGGUGAAAUGCGCAGAUAUCGGGAGGAACACCAAUGGCGAAGGCAGCUCGGCUGGGACGGUACGUGACGCUGAGACGCGAAAGCGUGGGGAGCAACAGG
rnacentral:rRNA from 1 species